UCCCGCAUAGCUCAGUCAAAAAGAAUCUGCCUGCAAUGCAGGAGACCCGGGUUCAAUUCCCGGAUUGGGAA
rnacentral:tRNA from 1 species